CCUGUCCAAACAAAACAAAAAACCCAACAAAGAUGUUAUAUAUUAAUUAAUUAAUUAACUAACUAACUAAUACAUGUUAAUUAUUAAAGGCAGGUCAUAAUAUUGAUCAGCACUAGAGACCCCAUGCAUUGAACUAUUGCCAUGCUUUUAAUAACAUAUAUAAUUAAAGUAGGUUUGGCAAUGCAUCGCUUUCACUCAGUCAAUCAACAGUUAAUACGUACCCCAUGAGUCUUGAGUGCUGGUUAAAGUGUGGAAGAAAUUAAGCAAAGCCGUUGGCUAAUAUUAGUUGUAUUUAAUUUUACCACAAUUUCUGAUGCUUCCAUGUACAUAUAGAUACAUGCAAAUGUAACUAUAUCACAUACAUAAAUCAUAUAUAUCUUGUAGCUCUCCAACUAUUAACACAUAAAUUCUUUCAAUUCCUGAUCAACACAUCAUUUUUUCAACAAAAUUGAAAAAAAAAAGAGAAACAAAGAGAAAGAAACAGCUUUAUGGGGUGCGGGUGCUUACAACAGAUAAGAUCAGGAUCUUCACUUGGUGAUGGCGUAGAUAGCAUAAAUAAUUCCAGGGAGGUAGCCAAAGAAGGUGAGAAGCAAGCAGAUCCAAAACUCCACCUGAAGCAUGCAUAUAUAUAUGUAUAUAAUCACAUGAUCAGUGUUUAAUUAUAAGUAAAACUAACUGUGUGUGUGUGUGUGUGUGUAAAUUAAUGAGAGGAUAUGGACGGACGUACCCCGCAGCCAAACUUGAGGAAGACACCAAGCGGAGGCAAGAUGAUGGCCAACAAGAUGUCUAUGCAAGUAGCUGUUCCCUCGUCUGCCAUCUCCUUAAUUCUUCUGAAAGAUCUAUAUAUACUGCUCUUGAGAAACUGUUUUUCUUCUUUGUGGUGCUAAUAUAUUCUGCGAUAUACAGAGAGUUGAAGAUUGAGGUUGGUUAUAUAUAGGCGCCCCAGAGCCACCCCACUGCCCACUAACACAACCUUCCAGUGUACACGUGUCCCACACGUACGUCGUCUAGUAAUACCUAGCUAAUGAAGAUCAUAUUAUGCACUCUCUUCCUUCGUGUGAGAGUCGUUGAUUAGACGACAAAGGGAAGGGAAGGGAAGGGGUGGAUGGCACGCUUUUGGGUUGUAAGAAUCGUAUUCAAAUUUGAUAUUUAAUUAUGUACAGGUAGAUAGCUAAGUUUCCUCACAUGCAUGCUGCUUUCCCAGCCAUGUGAUUUUGCUUCUUCUACCACUGGGCAGGCACUUGGCUGUAUCGGCCCGCAAGCACUCCUUCCUUCCUACGCUGCUGCUAUGUUUGUUUGUUUUUGUGAUUCUGUAUUCCAUUUAACUUUAAUUAGUUUAUACA